GAUGAACGCUAGCGGCAGGCCUAACACAUGCAAGUCGAGGGGCAACAGGUGUAGCAAUACAUGCUGGCGACCGGCGCACGGGUGAGUAACGCGUAUGCAACCUACCCAUAACAAGGGGAUAGCUUUCGGAAACGGAAAUUAAUACCCUAUAGUACCUAAAUACCGCAUGGUAUUAUGGUUAAACUACGGUGGUUAUGGAUGGGCAUGCGUGCCAUUAGUUAGUUGGCGGGGUAACGGCCCACCAAGACAGUGAUGGCUAGGGGGUCUAAAAGGAUGAUCCCCCACACUGGUACUGAGACACGGACCAGACUCCUACGGGUGGCUG
rnacentral:rRNA from 1 species